rnacentral:lncRNA from 1 species
UGGUGCCAUGUAAUUUUCCAUUCUGCAAAUGCUGAGAUCUAAUGGGGAAAAAGAAACGAAGCUGAAGCCUCUUCUGGUUCUAUCCAGAGGGGAAAAUACAUCAGUGGGACUGGGUAGCAGUCCUGAGAAAGAGAAGAGGUGAGUUUCUGUGUGCACUGCAGAUAACGAGGAACAACUAAUGUCAGUGGUGGUAUUG